rnacentral:rRNA from 1 species
ACUCCUACGGGAGGCAGCAGUGGGAAUAUUGCACAAUGGGCGCAAGCCUGAUGCAGCCAUGCCGCGUGUGUGAAGAAGGCCUUCGGGUUGUAAAGCACUUUCAGUCGUGAGGAAGGUAGUGUAGUUAAUAGCUGCAUUAUUUGACGUUAGCAACAGAAGAAGCACCGGCUAACUCCGUGCCAGCAGCCGCGGUAAUACGGAGGGUGCGAGCGUUAUCCGGAUUUAUUGGGUUUAAAGGGUCCGUAGGCGGAUUAUAAGUCAGUGGUGAAAUCCCAUCGCUUAACGAUGGAACUGCCAUUGAUACUGUUAGUCUUGAAUGAGGGUGCAGUGGUUGGAAUGUGUAGUGUAGCGUGAAAUGCAUAGAUAUUACACAGAACACCGAUUGCGAAGGCAGAUCACUAACCCUAAAUUGACGCUGAGGGACGAAAGCGUGGGGAGCGAACAGGAUUAGAUACCCUGUAGGCUCUG